rnacentral:rRNA from 1 species
AUUGAACGCUGGCGGCAGGCCUAACACAUGCAAGUCGAGCGAGCGGCGGAUGGGUGAGUAAUGUAUGGGGACUGCCCGAUAGAGGUGGAUAACUACUGGAAACGGUAGCUAAUACCGCAUCCUAUCGGACAACCCAGAUGUGACUAGCUAGUAGGUGAGGUAAUGGCUCACCUAGGCGACGAUCCCUAGAUGGUCUGAGAGGAUGAUCAGACACAAUGGGACUGAGACACGGCCCAGACUCCUACGGAGGCAGCAGUGGGGAAUAUUGGACAAUGGGCGAAAGCCUGAUGCAGCCAUGCCGCGUGUAUGAAGAAGGCCCUAGGGUUGUAAAGUACUGGCAGUCGGGAGGCGUUACCGACAGAAGAAGCACCGGCUAACUCCGUGCCAGCAGCCGCGGUAAUUC